CUUUAAAGGUCAUAUCUAAGAAAGUAUGUGCUGCAGCAAGCUGGCACAGUGAAUAUGGAGCAGAUGAAACAAGGAACAAGCAUCAGUCAAGCAGAAUAAACAGCUUUUCUGAAUUUAAGGACAUAGAAUAGUAAAUGGGGUGUUCGUGAGACAGAGGAACGCUAACAGUAGGAGUUGGAAAGUAAUGGUGUAGCAGCACAAAGCUAUAUAAGGAGGGCCAGACUACACAUUAGGGUGCCAGAGAAAGGCCAUAAAAGGUCAUUUUGACAAGCUGAAUAUGGAUAAUGAGUUGAGACAGAUGGUGUAAGAGUAAGGCAGCUAAUAAAUAAUGAACAGACUUGCUUCAAGGAGCAAAAGGAGGGAGAAAUCACAGCUGAAACCUUAGUCAGAGGGAGGAGGUGAAGGGGAAAAGAACAAACCCAAGGAUGAUGGGAGAGAAUCACAGCAGGAGGACUGGUGGGAGGAGGGUACGGUCUCAAGCACCAGAAUUUUGUGGAGAUGGUAAUUUACGCAAAGAAAACUUAGCAAUGCAUAUGCCUGAACUGGAAUUCAGCCAUCUUGUUGACAUUAACAUCUUUUUGCAGAGGAAAUACUCAUGGCCUCUAAACCUCUCCUAGCUAUCUAUUGCCCCUUCUCUGCCAUUGUCGCAGUGCCUAAGCAGCUUACAGUGCUUGUACUUCCACAAAAGUCUGGGAAAAGUACUUAGGUUUGUUUUUUACAGCAUAACCUGAGGCAAAGAUACCAAAGCUUCAUAGGGCCAUUGAAAUGUCCCACAGCCACAGGCCCCCUGCAGAUCAGCAAGCUGAAAUCUCCUAACUUUUGCAUCCAUCUUUGACACCAUGACCAAGAUGAAGGUGGGCACCAAUGCCCCCACAACUCUUUUGAGGCACAAGACCUGACCUGGGUAUCGCUCAAUGCUUCCAGAUGUCCCAUUAUAGAUGUAAACCAAGAAGCUAACCCAAGGUCACGUAGGGAAGCUACAUCAGUGUCAAACAUUGAAUCCAAGUUUCUGUUAUGUCGUUGUCUUUUUCAAUAUCUUAGAGAGCUAGUGUCUCUUAGACUUCAUUGCUUAUUAAUAAACCAAUCUCUUCACCAGCAAUGCACCUGACAGUAUAAAACUACAGGUAAUUUAGUGUUGAUGCAGAAAGAACAGUGCCCUGGUGCCCUCUAAUGAUUUUGAUGCUUCCAAGUGUACUUGCCCUUGAACAGCUUACAAGGUCUAACCUUCCUGAACCUGUAGUUCCUGACAAGGUUCCAGAGAUGACUGUAAGAAGUAACCUUGGUUAUAAACUGCCCACGAUUCAGCAAAUUCUGCCUGUGUCAGACAGCAAGCAUGCAUGAUUAACUAUGAACUGCUUAGCUCAUUGGCAAAGAUGUGACUAGCUACAAAGGGGAUUUCUAUUUCAUCGCACUUGGAAUCUGUGUUAUUAAAUAAUGAGCCACUUAAUGAACUCAUUCAUUAAUACAUGGCUGUGAUGAAUAGAUUUUCUCCAGUGGCAGAGUUGUGAAAGCAGUUGCAAACCUGAGUGAAUUCCAAAUGCUGCUUUCUUUCAGAAGAAAUUCGAUUUGAGCAAGUAUCUUUAUUAAGAUUUAUUUAUUAUCUCAUUCAUUCUACUGCUUCCAGCUAACACAGCGGUGUCAAAGGUCUGCUGUGUUUGUGCCCCUCCAGCACUCCCUGCUCAUUUCCUUCUCACCUUUCUGCCUUGCCAAAACCUGAAGAUCCCCUUCACUUCAGCUCUACUCUCUUGAUAGUCUUCAGGGCAGUCGUGCCACAAAAUCGUUCUUUGCCCAGACCCUUUCAGUACUUAAAGGGGACCCAUGAGAAAGAUGAGGAGAGACUCUUCAUUAGCGAGUAUAGUGAUUGGACAAGGGGUAACAGCUUUAAACUAAGAGUAGAUUUAGAUUAGACAUUAGAAAGAAAUUCUUUACUCAGAGGGUGGUGAGGCACUGGCACAGCUGCCCAGAUAGGUUGUGGGUGCCACACAUCCCUGGAGGUGCUCAAGGCCAGGCUGGAUGGGGCCCUGUGCAGCCUGAGCUGGUGGAAGGUGUCCCUGCUCAUGGCACAGGAUUGGCAUAGAUUGCAUUAGUCUUUAAGGUCACUUCCAGCCCAAACCAUUCUAUGAUCAUUCCCUAUCUCACAUAGGAAAUGACUGUAUUGCUCUAUUUCCUGGGUUCACCUUCCCAUUGCUUUGAGACUGACAAACCACUCCACAAACCAGAGACAGAAGGACAAAUCAUUCAAUGCAUCUAAAACAAAAACACUUGCAAGGUUUUCCUCUCUUGUUUUCCAAGAGUGUGUUAAGGAAGGUCUCUAGCAGAGAAUUUCACCAGCUGAGAGCUUUCCCUGCAGGGAACUGUUCCUUUUGUUUGGAACAGCUCUUUUGCAGCCCAGGGUGCUCAGGCAUCAGUCUCUAGAGACAGUUGCUUGCCAGCUCCAGUGAAGUGUACCAAGCCACUGCCCAUGCCAGUACACAGGCUCAUUCCAAGAAAUCCCCCGUGCUGCAGCCUGUCACAGCCAACCUUAUGCUUCCACUGUGCUCCUUAAUAGGGUUGUUACUUGUCCAUCCUUCUGGGGCUACAAGAAAAUAGUCUCAGGAAAUGUAGUUAUUGCAAAGCUAAGAGUUAGAUCAAUUAAGAGGGGUGAUUCUCAAACUAAAUCCAGCAUCUCUCUCUCUUUUUGCACAAGCCCUCCAAUGCAAUUGUUCUGGGGCUACAAGAGCUUUAAAAAUUGCAGAUAUGCUGCUCAUUACGCACCUUACCUGUGGAGAAACAGAAGCACAAGUAGCAGCAGGUUUAAAGAGAUGUUCACUCUGAGACUCUUUUCAAGGUUAUUUAGCAGAGAAAGUACAGGAGUAAUUGGCUUUGCUCCAUCUAUUUUCAUAGCAUUUUGAUUGCUCUGACCAUUUUUCGCUAUGAAAUACUACUAAAGAGACCUGAAAUUUGUAGCAUCCAGGAUCAUUCAACAGAUAGCAUGAUGUGGUUAUUGUAUUUGCUAUGUGCACUCCAUGAAUGAUGCCUCCUUUAAGAAAGCAACUUGCAAAGCUUGUCUUGGCUGCAGACUACACGUUGAGUACCUCAGAUGCCCAGAUUUUUGAAGAACAUGGUUUUGAAGCAGGCAUCUCACAGCAAAUCACAAAAAUAGAUAGAUCUUAUUUUCACUCACUAGCUGUGCAAACUCAAGUUGUCAUAGGGUCUGGAAUAUAUUGGCACUGAUUUAACAGCAAUACAAGGCCUCAUAUAUAGCAACACUGCAAUUAUACUUGUGUUUUAUACCCAUAUGGAGGCUUUCAACUCAAAAGAGUCUCCAGCAGCUGCCGAGAGGUAUGAGAUAUAGCAAGGGAGGUAGGACGAGGCAGGGUGAAGGACAAAAAGGAAGGGAGAGGAAAUGUACUGCUCUCGGGAAUAGCCAGCCUUGGAAACUGAUGUUACCUUGAGGCAGUAAAAGGGCAGAAUAUACGCAGUUAGGCAUAGCACUUCAUAGUAGUAAGAAGGCUGUAUGUUUGCCUCCCAAAUAGCCUAAUAAAUUCCUAUUAUUAGGAUGGACAUUAACGAUGAAAAAUCUUCAUCUCCAAAAAUUAAUAGGUUCGAUAUAUCAUUAGAAUAGAUCGUCACAUAGCUAUCUGUACACAAGAGAGAAAAUCCUCACAACCACCUGUUGAGGCAGGGGAAGGAUUUAGCUAUUAUUUAUUGCUCAGUGUGACUCAUGCUUGUGGGUAGGGACGCGACAGUGCAGAUGGGAGUUAAAGUCAAACUGCCGUCAGCGCAAUUUAUGCCAGGAGAGUUGAAUUCAGGCUACUUCUGUAUUCCAUAUGAUUCUUCUGUAAAAUAUGGAAAGGGUAUGAAAACAGUUUGAAAAAUGCAUGCCUGGGCUGCCAUUUGUCGGAGCUCAGGCUCGGUUAGAGGCAAGAUGGCUGCAGGUCUUGGGCAGCAUUGAGAGCUGCACGGCAGGAGGGAAGCAUUGCCUGCAGGUCGCUGCAGCAAGGGGUUUUCCUGCAGCCUGGCAUCAUGCAGAGCGCUCCCUUGGCUCAUGGACAGAGUUGAUUUCUUCUGGUAGAGUAAUCCUGGCUGCCAAGUGAAGGCAAAACUGCUGAUCCUUCUGCACAGCACCCACAGAUCAGUCCCUUCUCAGAGCAGUUUUGACACCAACCUGACAAAUCGCCAGCUGCUCUGCUACAGAUGGUUGGGGUGCUGCUGACUCUCUCUGCUGGAAGGUGCCAAGGCUUUCCUGCCCUUCCUGGCUCCUUUCUCACUCAGACAUUCUGUCUGAUUUUUUCUUAAUGCACUUGAUAUAAUUUGUAGGAACUUUCCAGCCCCAUCGGCUCAUGCUGUUGGUCUAUUUGUCCCUGAGCUCUGAGAUGCUGACGAGCACUAUCUGAUAGACUUCAAAGGAUGAGAAAAACAUCCAUGCUUUACUUCCAGCACAAGGCUGUAUGAAGUGGGGGAUGGAGAAUCCAAAGCAGCCCCUGAGCUGAUCAACAUGGAGAAGGGGAAGAUCAGAGGAUAUUUAAUUAGAUUCCUAAUUAUGGAGCUUAUUAGCAGUCAUAAAAUCACCAGGGUUUGGAUCGCAUAGAAAUGGGAAUGGCAGAUCUCAGAGACACACAUCACAUAGAUAAAUGUGAUUAUUCCUUUGGCUUGAUCUCAACUGGAAGAAUAGCUCACUGCAUUAUCAGCAACUGAAGAUGUACCCCUGAUGCAUAAUUUGUUCUUUCUACAGUAAAGGCAAGAGACAGAAAUCACAUAGGCACAAUUGGGUUCAGGAUAUUUCAAUCUUAAAGUAAAAUUGAGAAAAAAAAAAGGGGGGAGCACCAUAGGAAAGCCCACACCGUACUGAAAGAAAUACAGCCUUAUCUUUAUUUUCUGCAUCCCUUCUAAGAAUACAGCUCUGCAGACACUUCUUUCUUCCAUGUGAUUCUAAGGAUGCCCAGCAAACAAAGAGUCUGCUGGAAACCAGUGGAAUAAGCUUGGCCAUCACAAAAUGAGCCUGAAUGAUUUUGUCCACCUUGAUUGUCUGUUUUGUUCAUUCAUACAGGAGAAAGGACUAGAAGAUUGUCCAAUUUUCUCUGGGGGAAGAAAGAAAAUAAACCCUUUUCCUUCAUAUCGGUCAAUAUUUUCUUCAAAAUUUAUCAGAUUCUCCCCAGAGGUUCAGCAUACUGCAGUUGGUUCAGUCUUUUUCAAUGGAAAAUGGACAAAAGGGAACGGUUGCUUCUCAAACAUUUCCAAUUUGUCCAGAAUUGAUCUUUUUUUUUUUUUUUUUUCUUUUGUGAAUAAAAUGUUUGGAUGAAAAUUGUUUGAGCGGAGAGAGGGAGCAUGUUCUCCAAGGAUGGGGAGCUUCUCUUUUGCAUGAAUGCAUUUGGCAACACUGGAUGAUACAGAUGAUCUGUCUUUCCUACCCAGCUGGACCCAGCUGCACAGUGAGAAGGGGGAGAGAAAAUGAACAAAAAAAAAUGCUGCUCCAUCCAAUGUGAGCUCAGGAACAAGGAGAGUGUGAACUGGCCAGGAAAUAAGGAACUGGGAAUAAGAAGAAAAUUUCAAAGAAAUCCAUGAGUCAAAAAACCCCACAGCAACAUCUCGAGUGCAGCAAACCAGGGGACCAAGAUGGAGUGCUGAGUUCCUGCUGAUCUGUCCUCAGUUGCACCAAAUGAGAAAUCAACUUGGCCAUGUUUUGGGACAUUUAUAGCAGAUGUGAGAGCCUGAAAUUCAACCUGAGGCUGGAGGUCAGACAAAGCUUCCUGACUGCAAUAUCUGUGGGGCUGAAGGGCAGGAUGUGCAGGAUGUGAGGAGCAGCUUGCUUUCUUCAUCAGCCCAAUGGCAGGGGUGCUGAGUGGUAACGCUGGGACUGCCUUGUCCUGAGGACAUCUACUCUUCUUGCUCACUGUCAGCUCAGGAGGACAUGAAGCCAAGGAGGCAGCAGCUAUGAUGGCAUCACGGAGGGAACCAGAGCCUGAAUAAACACAUACGUCACCCAGCUGAGAGUGGAUGAACUUCAGCUUCCUCCAAACACACCUCUCACAAGAGCUGCUGUGAAUCACAGCAAAACAUCGAGUCUAACUGAAACACUGAAUCACAGAACCAGCUGUCACACAGCCCUGCAGCAUCUCCUGCAGGAGCUCAUCCAGCAUCAGCCCUGCUCUCCAGGUCUCUCUCUUCUGCAGGACAUCCACAUCCUCAAAGCAAGAAACAGAGGAAGGCAUUUCUCAGAUGGAUGGAUUUAAGCAGCGGACAUGGGGCAGUUCUGGUCUGUAAGCCAUGUCGGCCACAGGAGUUCUUGUUAUUUGGAGAUGGUGUUUUAGGUUAUGGGACAAGAUUGCUUCACCUUUGAGCGGGCAGGUAAGGGCAUCUUGGACCUGCAUCUGGCUUCUGUUGGCUUGAUCUGAUGUCCUCUGGGUCUUGGAUGAGAGGAGAGAGUAUGCAGCUCUACUCAGUGCCUCCAUGUCUCUCACAGCUUUGUAGAUCUAUCCUAUCUCUCCAUAUCUACAGCCAUAUCCCCAGGUCUAUAACACCAAGAAGAGCAGAAAACAACUCGGAAAGCCAGUAACCCCUAUGCUUCACUGAGGCAAAUCCAAAUACUCUAAAGCACUUUCACAUUUCAUCUACCUCCAAAGAAGAAAAGCCUUGACUUCUUCUUUCUCUCUGGGAUUAAGGCAUUCCAGAACAAGCACAGGAGACCUGUGUCACCUUAGCCGUGGGGGAGUCUUUAAAUCUGAUCAUAAGCAUCUACCAGGACAGUUCUAGGAAAAAAAGCUAUUUGUCAUUCAAGUUGCCUGAACUUCCAGGCUCCUAUACCCAGGCUCAGGUCUCUUCUGUAAGGGUUCUACACCCUCUUUUUACCCAGUCUUUCCUUCUAAUUCAUUCCAGACAAAGGAAUCCACUAGGCCACCUUGCUGCCCAGCUUUCUUCUACCACCAAACACCAGCAUGCAUCUACUGGCAUAAACGUGAUCACAAAGUCGUGACUGCACAGGGAGAACAAACAUGCUGAGCAGAUGGGUUGUGAGGGAGGAAGCCCUCAUUUAAAAUACAAAUAACUGGCAAUAACUUAGCAGAUGUGGUAAGAGGAAUCUGGACAGACAAGCACGAGGUGACUGGAUUCCAAUUUCAGUUAAGUAAUGUGGAAUUUUCCCUGGCAAAGAAAGGUUUCAUCUUCCAUCUCCUUGAUUACCUUGUCCAGAAGAGAUAAUUACUUUGAUGUUAGGUGUCUUCACAAGAAUGAUAGAGGGUAUUCUUCAUUUAGGAUCUUAUACGACUCCCUGCCCUUACAAGGUAGAUUUUUCACUAGAGAAAUCUAGCCUCUAUAGCCCAGAAGUCCAUGAGAAAAGACUAAAAUUCAAGCAGAAGUCCCCAGCCAAAGACUUUAGUGUCUGUCCUUCUCUUCCCCAACAUCAGAUCAGCAUCCCUCAGGAAAUAUCUUGGAGAUGUUAAAGAAAUCUAUACAUCUAGCAUACUGCAAUAUUAGUUUGGCCCUGGAAUCUCAUCUUGGCAGAUGUACCAACAUUACCACAGAUGAGUAUGAGGAUUUUCUCCUUAUAAUUGUUACAGAGACAUUAAUCAUGCAGGGGAAAUUAACCCUGCCAGGCAGCACUGCAGCAGAGAUCAGGAAAGCACAGUCAUCGCUGGCCAACGGCUCAAGCUGAACGUGGGAGAAAUGUCAGGUGCACAGACACACAACAGAUAGCAAAAAUAUUCUGUGAUCCUCAGUCAGGGGAAACAAAACCUGCCUUAUUCAAGAUUUCCCUUCAUAUGCAAUCAUCAGGCUCUCCAAAGACAACACAUUUGGCAGCUCCUGCACUCUCUCCUUACAUAAGGUGGGGAUUCAGUCAUCUAAAGCUCACUCCUUGUUCCUGUAUGCACUGCACCCCCUGUUCACAAGACACAGAUCUUGCACAGAAGCUUGUUGCCCUGAAGCCCACGAGAAACAAAAAUCAAAGCCAAAACUUGAUGCUUAGAAGAGGAAUAGCUGUAGGUAUAAUGAAACUCCAAGGCUGCUCUUGAGUGAGGACAAGAAGCACAGUCCUCACCCCAGGUGUCACAGGACCUGCCAUCAGGGAGCACAACACGUGUGAGUUUAUUGCAGGUGGAGGUUUCUGUAUGAACACUUCAGGAGAGGAACAUGUUUAUAAACAAAUCACCCCCGCAAUUUUCUCC
ensembl:lncRNA